rnacentral:lncRNA from 1 species
AUGCUGGAAUGUUGGCCUAAAAAAGGGAGAGUCAACAUGUUGCCUCAACCCACAGCUUCACCAUCUAUGAUUAUAGCUGCUGAAAAAGAUGAAUUUGACAUUUUACCUCUUCAUACACUGAGUGGAGAAACUUCCUUCUGUUGGAUGAUUCAGCACCGGAAAGAGCCAUUAGCAAAGCCUCUAAUAUGUUGGGGAUCAAAAAUCGAAUAACAAGCUCCUGGAACAUGAAGGUGGAAGGAAGCAUUAUCCCUUAAAAUGAUCUUGGGAUUUUAGAAAUGUGCUUUUAUUAUAUUCUUUCUGGGAUUUCUAGAUAGAUGGGACAAAGUGUUAUAGCAAAAAGGAAACUGGACUUGGAAGAAGAAUUGACUCUCAUUUUAAGCACUUUCACACUAUGACCUUGGCAAUAAAAAGACAGGCUCAAAUGAUGUAAUGUUUAAGGUUUGCCCAGCUCUAAUGUUCUAUGAAUUAAAUAAAGAUUCUAGCUUUUAAG